ACGGGUGAGUAACACGUGGGUGAUCUGCCUCGCACUUCGGGAUAAGCCUGGGAAACUGGGUCUAAUACCGGAUAUGACCUUUCAGUGCAUGCUGUUGGGUGGAAAGAUUUAUCGGUGCGAGAUGGGCCCGCGGCCUAUCAGCUUGUUGGCGGGGUAACGGCCCACCAAGGCGACGACGGGUAGCCGACCUGAGAGGGUGACCGGCCACACUGGGACUGAGACACGGCCCAGACUCCUACGGGAGGCAGCAGUGGGGAAUAUUGCACAAUGGGCGGAAGCCUGAUGCAGCGACGCCGCGUGAGGGAUGACGGCCUUCGGGUUGUAAACCUCUUUCGACAGGGACGAAGCGCAAGUGACGGUACCUGUAGAAGAAGCACCGGCCAACUACGUGCCAGCAGCCGCGGUAAUACGUAGGGUGCGAGCGUUGUCCGGAAUUACUGGGCGUAAAGAGCUUGUAGGCGGUUUGUCGCGUCGUCCGUGAAAACUUGGGGCUCAACCCCAAGGCUUGCCGGCGAAAC
rnacentral:rRNA from 1 species